CAAAUACUCCCUCCGUCCGAAAAUACUUGUCAUCAAAAUGGAUAAAAGGAAAUGUAUCUAGACGUAUUUUAGUUUUAGAUACAUCUCUUUUUAUCCAUUUUGAUGACAAGUAUUUUCAGACGGAGGGAGUAGAAA
rfam:Triticum aestivum genome assembly, contig: Triticum_aestivum_CS42_TGACv1_scaffold_307595_4AS